rnacentral:rRNA from 1 species
AGUGAACGCUGGCGGUAGGCCUAACACAUGCAAGUCGAACGGCAGCACUGGAGAGCUUGCUCUCUAGGUGGCGAGUGGCGGACGGGUGAGGAAUACAUCGGAACCUGCCCAGUCGUGGGGGAUAACGUAGGGAAACUUACGCUAAUACCGCAUACGACCUUCGGGUGAAAGAGGGGGAUCGCAAGACCUCUCGCGAUUGGAUGAGCCGAUGUCGGAUUAGCUAGUUAGCGGGGUAAUGGCCCACCAAGGCGACGAUCCGUAGCUGGUCUGAGAGGAUGAUCAGCCACACUGGAACUGAGACACGGUCCAGACUCCUACGGGAGGCAGCAGUGGGGAAUAUUGGACAAUGGGCGCAAGCCUGAUCCAGCCAUACCGCGUGGGUGAAGAAGGCCUUCGGGUUGUAAAGCCCUUUUGUUGGGAAAGAAAUCUUUCAGGCUAAUACCCUGGGAGGAUGACGGUACCCAAAGAAUAAGCACCGGCUAACUUCGUG